rnacentral:rRNA from 1 species
UACGAAGGGUGCAAGCGUUACUCGGAAUUACUGGGCGUAAAGGGCGCGUAGGCGGCCUUCUAAGUCGGACGUGAAAUCCCUCGGCUUAACCGAGGAACUGCGUCCGAGACUGAAAGGCUUGAAUCCGGGAGAGGGAUGUGGAAUUCCAGGUGUAGCGGUGAAAUGCGUAGAUAUCUGGAGGAACACCGGUGGCGAAGGCGGCAUCCUGGACCGGCAUUGACGCUGAGGCGCGAAAGCUAGGGGAGCAAACGGG